GACGAACGCUGGCGGCGCGCUUAACACAUGCAAGUCGAGCGAAGCGGCGGACGGGUGAGUAACACGUGAGUAACCUGCCUUAGACAUUGGGAUAGCCUCGGGAAACCGGGAUUAAUACCAAAUGGUCUAAGAUGGACUCGCGUCCCAUUAGCUAGUUGGUGGGUAACGGCCCACCAAGGCGACGAUGGGUAGCCGGCCUGCGCGGGUGAACGGCACAAUUGGACCUGCGAAACGGCCCAAAUUCCACGGUGGGCAGCGUUGGGGAAUUUGCCACAAUGAGGGAACUCUGAUGCAGCGACGCCGCGUGAACGAAGAAGUCUUUCGAGUCGUAAAGUUCUUUUAUAUGGGAAGCGGUACCAUAAGAAAAAGCCCCGGCUAACUACGUGCCAGCAGCCGCGGUAAUUC
rnacentral:rRNA from 1 species